ACUCAAAAGGAGCAGGUGACUGAUUGCAGCAAGGUUGCUAGAUGACAAACGGUAGUCACAUCUCUGUAUCAUGGUUUGCCUUCUUGAAAAUGACAGAGAUAUUGGACAGACUUGAGAAUAGUAUUCAUCGCUAAGACCUUAAUAAAGUGCUGCGUCAGAAACUCACAACCGACUGAUCAGCAUGCUUGAUGUCCUCGGCUGUGUAGUCUUUCGUUAUGCCGCCUCCGGUAAAAUCCACCAUCUCAACCCUGAACACCUCACCAACUAGCAUCUCUGCUACCGGACGUAUCUCCGGUGCCACCGGUUGUGAAGAGGGGGAUUUUGUUCCUAUGGCUUUUUCUUUAAAUCUACCUGUACUACCAACCUUGGACUUAUUGAAUUCAUAGUUUCUUUUGUCAGAUAUGCAGAGUUCCUAGUAGCUGAAGAGAAAUUUGUGGGAGAUCAAACAGCCGUAGCUACCGAAAAGCCAAGAUCAAAAAGCUAUUUUUCAAGCUGUUUACUCGAAAACAGUACAGAGGUUCGUGAUCUAUCAGUGUAGGCCACACAUUCUGCUGUUACAGAGUGCUCCUUUUGAUCCGGAGCCCAUAUAUUGGUAUAUAUCUUUUGUGAUGUAUAUGCUUCUGUCCAUUUGAUUAUUUGGGGUACGGCGGGGCCCUGUCCCGUCAUAUGAUUAUGUUAUAGUUGUAGAGGCCUGUAGUCAUAUAUGUGGGUAAUGGGUCAUGUGUGUGUUCGCUUGUCUAGGUUCUGCGUCUUAAUGCGGUGCCGUUUGCUAUUAUGGCCAAGACGGCCUAAUUGUCUGUACACGUGUAUGUAUCUGGCGAUGUAUAUUCCGCCAAUCUAUCAGAUUUGGAUGCGGCCUAAAUGGCCUGUAUGUUUGUAUAUGUGCAUAUAUUCGGCGAUGUGUAUUCUGCCGCCU